rnacentral:rRNA from 1 species
AUUGAACGCUGGCGGCAGGCCUAACACAUGCAAGUCGAACGGUAACAGGAAACAGCUUGCUGUUUCGCUGACGAGUGGCGGACGGGUGAGUAAUGUCUGGGAAACUGCCUGAUGGAGGGGGAUAACUACUGGAAACGGUAGCUAAUACCGCAUAACGUCGCAAGACCAAAGAGGGGGACCCUCGGGCCUCUUGCCAUCGGAUGUGCCCAGAUGGGAUUAGCUUGUUGGUGGGGUAACGGCUCACCAAGGCGACGAUCCCUAGCUGGUCUGAGAGGAUGACCAGCCACACUGGAACUGAGACACGGUCCAGACUCCUACGGGAGGCAGCAGUGGGGAAUAUUGCACAAUGGGCGCAAGCCUGAUGCAGCCAUGCCGCGUGUAUGAAGAAGGCCUUCGGGUUGUAAAGUACUUUCAGCGGGGAGGAAGGGAGUAAAGUUAAUACCUUUGCUCAUGGACGUUACCCGCAGAAGAAGCACCGGCUAACUCCGG